CCUACGGGAGGCAGCAGUGAGGAAUAUUGGUCAAUGGACGAGAGUCUGAACCAGCCAAGUAGCGUGAAGGAUGACUGCCCUAUGGGUUGUAAACUUCUUUUAUAUGGGAAUAAAAUGUUCCACGUGUGGGAUGUUGUAUGUACCAUAUGAAUAAGGAUCGGCUAACUCCGCGCCAGCAGCCGCGGUAAUACGGAGGAUCCGAGCGUUAUCCGGAUUUAUUGGGUUUAAAGGGAGCGUAGGUGGAUUGUUAAGUCAGUUGUGAAAGUUUGCGGCUCAACCGUAAAAUUGCAUUUGAAACUGGCAGUCUUGAGUACAGUAGAGGUGGGCGGAAUUCGUGGUGUAGCGGUGAAAUGCUUAGAUAUCACGAAGAACUCCGAUUGCGAAGGCAGCUCACUGGACUGCAACUGACACUGAGGCUCGAAAGUGUGGGUAUCAAACAGGAUUAGAUACCCUAGUAGUC
rnacentral:rRNA from 1 species